UGCAAGUCCAGCAGGAGAUGCAGCAUUCCUUUUAGGGACCUGGAACCAUCAACCAUAUAUGUUAGACUGACCCAAUAUUUACAUGAUUGUCACAAAGCUAGUAGUACCCACACAAGGCAUUCAUCUUACUCUUGAACUUGUGAUAGGCGUAGCAACAAUACUCUUAUCAUCCCCAUCAGGGGUAUCUACAGUUUUGGAGCGCAAAAGCUCUGUCAAGCGGUCAAUUUCAGCCCUGCCCCCACCAAAUCUCAUAUUACUGAACACCAUAUGCCACCUUGAAACCAAAUUGCUUUCUUGCUGCACUUGCUGUUUGAAC
rnacentral:lncRNA from 1 species